rnacentral:rRNA from 1 species
UGGACAAGUGCUAUUUAAUAAGACUGAACGGGUGUCCGUUGCAAGGGACUCCGAAGAGCUGUGGCAAGGGGUGAAAGGCCAAUCUAACCUAGAGAUAGCUGGUCUUCUGCGAAACCCGUUUUAGCGGGUAGCCCAUUUAUUGAAAUUAGUUACUAGACGGUACGGCACUGGAAGCCACGCUGUUAGUUUUUAACUGCAUAAUUGGGGGGCUGUCAUGGCUCUAUCAAUGGCUUCUAAUCCCGGAAAUGUAUAGUAUACAAUGGUGGGCAAUCAGACAUAUUGUGAUAAGGCAAUUUGUCAAAAGGGAAACAGCCCAGAACAGGUGUGAAGGUCCCUAACAAACUACUGAGUGAACACAAGGCAGUCCUCUCCAGUGUCUCUCCACAAAGUGGGCUUGGAAGCAGCCAUCUUUUAGCGAUAGCGUAACAGCUCAGUGGUCUGAGCUCCCUAUUAAGGGAAUAUAGCCUGGUGAGGGCACCAAGAAUGUAACGGGUCUAUAGUAGUUGUCUCUCUAAAUGGAGAGAGUGGCAGUUGAUACAGGUGCAGAGCUCCUUUACUGCUUCACCGAAACCCUGUCCUAGAUAAUUCUAGGGGUAGCAGAAUAUCCAGCAAAUGGAAGGAAGCUUGCUCAUUGAGUAAGUGGACAUAGCUGGACUAAAAAUGCUGACAUGAGUAGCCUAAAAGGAGGUAAAUUUCCUCUUCGCCGAAAGCAGAAGGGUUUCAUUAGUGAGGUCUAUACCUAGAUGAUUAAAGUAACGGCCUCUAAGGCAGGGUGAUAAAUCAACUCAGAAGGGAAAACCUUCAUAUGCCGAUGAGUAAUUCUUCUGUAGGAAAGUAACCUUCCUUAUAAGUUUACCUUAUUUUUAGAGGUAUACUUUAAAGAGUAAGGUUCAGGAAAGAGUCUUACGGAGACUUAAUUUCUGAAGAUUAGGUUAAUCAACCGUACCCUAAACCGACACAGGUCUGCAAGUAGAGCAUACUAAGGCGCUGAGAUAAUCGUCUUGAAGGAACUCGGCAAAAUAGCCCCGUAACUUCGGGAGAAGGGGUACCAUUUAUUAUGGUGGCACUAAAUAGGGGGGCGCGACUGUUUACUUAAAACACCGGACUCUGCUAACACUGAGGUGGAUGUAUAG